rnacentral:rRNA from 1 species
GACGAACGCUGGCGGCGUGCUUAACACAUGCAAGUCGAACGGUGAAGGGACUGGUUUUGCUGGUCCUGGAUGAGUGGCGAACGGGUGAGUAACACGUGAGUAACCUGCCCCCUUCUUCUGGAUAACCGCAUGAAAGUGUGGCUAAUACGGGAUAUUCUGGGUCUGUCGCAUGGUGGGCCUGGGAAAGAUUGCGCCUUUUUUGGUGUUUUUGGUGGGGGAUGGGCUCGCGGCCUAUCAGCUUGUUGGUGGGGUGAUGGCCUACCAAGGCGGUGACGGGUAGCCGGCCUGAGAGGGUGGACGGCCACACUGGGACUGAGACACGGCCGAGACUCCUACGGGAGGCAGCAGUGGGGAAUAUUGCACAAUGGGCGCAAGCCUGAUGCAGCGACGCCGCGUGAGGGAUGGAGGCCUUCGGGUUGUGAACCUCUUUCGCGAGUGAAGCAGGCCUGCCUCUUUUUGUGGGUGGGUUGACGGUAGCUGGAUAAGAAGCGCCGGCUAACUACGUG